rnacentral:lncRNA from 1 species
GUUACACAUCUGCACUUGAGAGAAAAAAUACUAGUGGUAAGCAGCAUGAAGAUAUUCAUGGAUGCAAUGAGGCAAACUUCGAUAGGAACCAAUGUGUGGGAAGCCAUCUGAGUGGAUGGUACUUAUAUAGAACAGUUGUGUGGAAGGCCGCUGAAGAACAGAGUACGACCAGAUCAUGAAAGUCCUUCAAAGACAGCAGAACUCGUCACUCUUUGGAACAGCUUGAACCUUAAGAUCACCCUGAUGUUGCUGAUGUACCAGCUUGCUUUGACUAGAUAAGAUGCUUCCAGUACCUUCUGGCAUGGUGUAAAGGCAAUUAAACGACAUUUGUGC